rnacentral:lncRNA from 1 species
CUAUGAAAAUAUAUUUCAUAUCGAAUCUAAUGAAACUUGCUAGACAUCAAAACCACCGAUACAUUUUUAUAUAAACUUGGUCAAACAUAAGAUGGUUUGACUUAGAACAGAACUAAAGGGACACUUUUUGCGGGACGGAGGAAGUAGAUCAUGAAUCCCUAAUCAUGAGCUACACACCUUAUUAAUUACCAGCUCCGGGGGCCACAUUUCUAUCCCCCACCACCACUCCCACCACAACCCCAUCCUCUCCUG